GGAUACUUGUCCACGCAAACUGUAACAAAUCAUACAAUUGAACAAUGUUAACUGGUCAGGCAUGUCUUCUUUCUCAUUAUCAAACAAACCGGAAAUAUAUUAUCGUUGAGGAGUAGGCGAAGUCACAAAAGGUGCGGCACUCAUACCCAGUCCGUCUCAAGGAGUUGCGGUUCAUUUAUCAUGAAGUAUUAAACAAUAAUUGAUUAUUUAUAGACAAAGAAACUGGUGAGACAUAAGAAUUUAAAUAUUGUGAACACCUCGAGUUUCUGGAGAAUCAAUUUUUUAUCAGUGAAUCAAUUUUUUAAAAUUUAUAUGAUUUUAUUAUUGAGUGGAUAAUAUUCGCAAAAUUCUGGAGUUUCGGGGGAUUGUUUAUAAUUUUAUAAUGGCGUUGAAAUCCAUGACCCUGGAAUUACCACAACAAGUUCUUUGUUUUUUUUUUAACGACGCGAAACCAGAACUCUUCGUCAUAGAUGAUAUGACUAAAAAUGACUGGUUUUGUUCGAAUCCCUACAGCGAAUAAAAAAACUCGAUAAAAGAGAAUCAAAGAGAUCUCUAAUGGAAAAUUAAAUAGACCUUGACUGAAUUUUGCCGAGCAAUGGAAAAAAGAAAACUAUGAAGAAAUCGAAAGAGAGGAAUAAAAAGUGAAACCUGCACUUGUACGAGAAGGCUGCCAACAAUUCUCAACAUUAGCUUGAGGUAUCUCAAUACCACAGUGAAAGGGAGAGUCAGUGCCAGUGAAAAUGUAAAGAUUGUGUCUAACCAUUGCAUGUUACCCGAUGGAAUAUUUUAUUGUAAUUUACCGGCUUUUCCAUCUCGUUUUUUCUAUCUAAAAUCGAUGUAGAUGAUAAUCAUAUUGAUAAUAAUUUUUUCCUUCAUCUUCAACCGAUUUCACUUUAAAAUCUCUUUGAUAAAAUCUAAAAAUGUCAAUAAAUGAAGAAAAAGGUUUAUAAAUUGUAUAAAAAAUAAGAAAGAGAAGGGGCUCAACAUAAAGUUGAAAAUUUUACUAUAAUAAUCUAGUAUAAACUCGAGGAAAAAUAGAAAUCGAAAGUAAAUAAAAAAAUAAUUUGUUCAGCAAAUGGAAAACCGGAAUUGCAAUGGAUCCAUUCGGAAGUUAAAACACAGAUAAAGUAUAAAGUAACAUUGACAUGUGUUCGACUGCUAGGAGUGGCCAACUCGUUAUUUCUAAAUGCGAAUGAUAUUUAUUUAUCAUUUGAUAGUCAAAUCGCCUCAAUUUGCGGUUUGAAAGCGCUAUUGCAAUUCUUGCAAUGAGAUACUCUGUAAUACUUGUGGCUUCAAUGUGCAUUGAACACAGUCAAUUGAUAUUGAGAUUUAGAUGUCCAUUGGAAGUUAUCGACUGCAACGAUUCGUUUAAUGUAUGUCUCUGAAUGUUCGCGCAGGCAUAUGAAAUAUCAUUUGUUCAGCGAGACUAUCGGUCAAAGAAGUAUCUAUAUCCUGUGGAAAUUACUAAGGAAUAAAUUGCGUUGGAGCGCGUAUCAGUGAUGAAUGGACGGGAAAAUAGAAUUAAUCGAAAUUACUCGAUCAGAAUUGAGAGAAAAUUUUAUCGCCAUUUUCAAAGUUUUUAUUAUUCAUUGCUCACGUUAAUUCUUUAAGCCCCGGGUGAAAAAAAAAUUGUAAUCGGAAUGUUUUUUCCAAAUUUUCAAAA